AAAUAGUACUUUGCAGAGAGAGUUAACAGGGCGUGAACCGUUAAUUGGCAAACGAAUCGGAGCCACGAAGUCGUUUCGUUGAGAAGUUGGGUCGAGUUCAGUUGGUGAGGAAACUCAUUGGCGUAUUCUCGGUUCGACCAUCAUUGUAAGCGUACACUGCAACCAGUUAGACAAUUGGCCAUGGAAACAGUUUCAGCUCGUAGUAGUAGUAAUGUCCUAGGAUUUCGGUCUUAUGAUGUUGCUGACUAUGUGGCUGGUGGACUAUGGCCAAAUACUGACUGGAAAAAUGAAAAUAGUCGCAAGACUUGACACAAAAUGCGCAUUGCAACACUUGGGUCUACACAUUUGACCGUCAGGUUCAAGCUCAACGUCUUUGAAUUCGGACUUGCUUGCUACCAGUGGGGCAACUCCUGGUGCUUGUAUAGCUUCGUCUAAUCGGGCGUUGACUUAACUUGGCGUCGUUUGGAUGUGAAUCGUUUGGAUUUAAGUGUUAGUGGUGUCGCCAUUGAUUGGCAGUGAGUAGGUCGGCUUUCCGAACGACCCGUCUUGAAACACGGACCAAGGAGUCUAAUUAGGCAUCGAGUCGAUCGGUCUUGAAUAGGCCAGCAAGUUUAGAUUUAAACAAGAAGGCGAAGAGACAUGUGAUCGUAGGGCCAACAUCAGGCUCUUCGCGCAACAUGUGCCUGUUCGUAUAUGAGUGUGCAAUACUCAUGAGCGGAGCAAAGAGAUGCUUGAUUGGUACCCGAAAGAUGGUGAUGCCUGAGCAAAUUGAAGCCAGAGGAAACUCUGGUGGAGGAUUUAGUCUGACGUGCAAAUCGAUCGUCAGACUG
rnacentral:rRNA from 1 species